rnacentral:rRNA from 1 species
GAUGAACGCUGGCGGCGUGCCUAAUACAUGCAAGUCGAGCGAACAGACGAGGAGCUUGCUCCUUUGACGUUAGCGGCGGACGGGUGAGUAACACGUGGGUAACCUACCUAUAAGACUGGGAUAACUUCGGGAAACCGGAGCUAAUACCGGAUAAUAUUUCGAACCGCAUGGUUCGAUAGUGAAAGAUGGCUUUGCUAUCACUUAUAGAUGGACCUGCGCCGUAUUAGCUAGUUGGUAAGGUAACGGCUUACCAAGGCAACGAUACGUAGCCGACCUGAGAGGGUGAUCGGCCACACUGGAACUGAGACACGGUCCAGACUCCUACGGGAGGCAGCAGUAGGGAAUCUUCCGCAAUGGGCGAAAGCCUGACGGAGCAACGCCGCGUGAGUGAAGAAGGUCUUCGGAUCGUAAAACUCUGUUAUUAGGGAAGAAUAAUCGUGUAAGUAACUGUGCACGUCUUGACGGUACCUAAUCAGAAAGCAACGGCUAACUACGUG